AAUCAAUCAAUAGAUCAAACAAUUCAAUAGCACGCUAUGUAGAAAAGAAAUUUUAAAAGGGACACGGUCCAAAAAAAUUAAUGAAUAAAGCUACUGCCUUCACAAAUUUCACCAAAUCUUUCAUUCCAUCUAAGAGUAGUAUGCACCUAAUUAGUGAUAGCUAUGGUUAUAACAAUAACAAACAUGUUCUAAGCAAACAUAAGAUAAUAGAGCAUAAUAGACAUGACAUUAAGUGAUGACAGAUCAAAGAGGCAAAUAGAAAACAUAAUAGAGCAUAAACAUGACAUUAAGUGAUGAAUUCAAAUGCAUAUCAGAUAUAAGCUUACUCUCCUUCAUAAUUAACACUUCCAUAGCAUUUUAUAGCAGCCUUACCAUAGGAUCUAGAAUCAUAAGAUCAAACAAUUCAAUAGCACACCAUGUAGAAAAGAAAAUAUAAAAGGGACCCAAUCCAAAAUAAUUAAUGACUUGUAAGAGCUCAUAUUAAACCCUUGCAGCAGGUCUCUAAAGUUGUUAGAUUUGAAUCAAUAUUCAACAUCAUAAAAGAGGUGAGUUAUAUUAAGAAAUUGGUGACCUUGUUACUUGAUUAAUUCAUAUUGAGACGCUAUAAGAUAAUGUAUUCACUCAUGAUAAGACAUUCUUGCAAGAAUAUUCAUGAUAUGGAGGAUUGGAAAUGCUUUUGAGCUUUUUGUCAAGAAGCUAUAUCACUGAUCCUUAUAUCCAUGUUAAAUUUCCCAUUAGUCAUUUAAUUAUGUGAGAUAGGAUGCCAUAUGGAAAAUGAAGGGUUAGAAGAAGACAGU
rnacentral:lncRNA from 1 species